rnacentral:rRNA from 1 species
GUGACCUCAAAUCAGGUAGGACUACCCGCUGAACUUAAGCAUAUCAAUAAGCGGAGGAAAAGAAACUAACAAGGAUUCCCCUAGUAACUGCGAGUGAAGCGGGAAAAGCUCAAAUUUAAAAUCUGUCAGUCUUUGGCUGUCCGAGUUGUAAUCUAGAGAAGUGUUGUCGGCGCUGGACCGUGUACAAGUCUCCUGGAAUGGAGCGUCAUAGAGGGUGAGAAUCCCGUCUUUGACACGGACUGCCAGGGCUUUGUGAUGCGCUCUCGAAGAGUCGAGUUGUUUGGGAAUGCAGCUCAAAAUGGGUGGUAAAUUCCAUCUAAAGCUAAAUAUUGGCGAGAGACCGAUAGCGAACAAGUACCGUGAGGGAAAGAUGAAAAGAACUUUGGAAAGAGAGUUAAACAGUACGUGAAAUUGCUGAAAGGGAAACGCUUGAAGUCAGUCAUGUUGUCCAGGGAUCAACCUUGCUUUUGCUUGGUGUACUUUCUGGUUGACGGGUCAGCAUCAAUUUUGNCCAUUGGAAAAAGAUUGAGGGAAUGUGGCAUCUCUG